CUCCCGGCCCCGCUGCCAGGGGCGAAGCCGCCCGCCGGGCCCCGCGGCUUUUUUUCUUAGAUUUUAUUACUGGAAAACUCUCUAAUGACAACUUUGCUUAGGAGCUGAGUGUUGUGACCUGCCCUACUUCUCCCUGCUCGCUGUGGGAACAACCUGAGGAACGUCUUGGAGCCACCUGUAC